rnacentral:rRNA from 1 species
CCUACGGGAGGCAGCAGUGAGGAAUAUUGGUCAAUGGACGAGAGUCUGAACCAGCCAAGUAGCGUGAAGGAUGACUGCCCUAUGGGUUGUAAACUUCUUUUAUAUGGGAAUAAAAUGUUCCACGUGUGGGAUUUUGUAUGUACCAUAUGAAUAAGGAUCGGCUAACUCCGUGCCAGCAGCCGCGGUAAUACGGAGGAUCCGAGGGUUAUCCGGAUUGAUUGGGUUUAAAGGGAGCGUAGGUGGAUUGUUAAGUCAGUUGUGAAAGUUUGCGGCUCAACCGUAAAAUUGCAGUUGAAACUGGCAGUCUUGAGUAGAGUAGAGGUGGGCGGAAUGCGUGGUGUAGCGGUGAAAUGCUUAGAUAUCACGAAGAACUCCGAUUGCGAAGGCAGCUCACUGGACUGCAACUGACACUGAGGCUCGAAAGUGUGGGUAUCAAACAGGAUUAGAUACCCGUGUAGUC